UAAUGCAUGCAAGUCGAACGCACGCGCUUCGGCGCGUGAGUGGCGCACGGCUGAGUAACACGUGGGAACCCGCCCUCCGGUGGGGGAUAACGAGACGAAAGUCGCGCUAAUCCCGCAUACGUCCGCAAGGGGAAAGCGCUUCGGCGCGCCGGAGGAGGGGCCUGCGGCCCAUCAGGUGGUUGGUGGGGUAACGGCCUACCAAGCCGAUGACGGGUAGCUGGUCUGGGAGGAUGACCAGCCAGACUGGGACUGAGACACGGCCCAGACUCCUACGGGAGGCAGCAGCAAGGAAUUUUCGGCAAUGGGCGCAAGCCUGACCGAGCAACGCCGCGUGCGGGAUGACGGCCUUCGGGUUGUAAACCGCUUUUCGGGGGGACGACUACGACGGUACCCCCGGAAGAAGCCCCGGCUAACUCUGUGCCAGCAGCCGCGGUAAGACAGAGGGGGCGAGCGUUGUCCGGAGUUACUGGGCGUAAAGCGCGCGCAGGCGGUGGUCUCAGUGUCGUGUGAAAGCCCCCGGCUCAACCGGGGGAGGUCAUGGCAAACUAGACGACUAGGGCGGCGGAGAGGCCCCUCGAAUUGCCGGUGUAGCGGUGAAAUGCGUAGAGAUCGGCAGGAAGACCAAGGGGGAAGCCAGGGGGCUGGCCGCUGGCUGACGCUGAGGCGCGACAGCGUGGGGAGCAAACCGGAUUAGAUACCCGGGUAGUCCACGCCGUAAACGAUGACCACUCGGCGUGUGGCGACUAU
rnacentral:rRNA from 1 species